ensembl:snoRNA
CACAGCCUUGUCAGAUUUGGUGCCCACUUAUGCCACGAUGGGGACUGGCCCAAUGGCUGCCACAGCCAUGUCCAUGCUCUGUGGGCCCCCUGUCCCUGCCGUGGGACAUCAGGGAUCUAAAUAAAUUAUGGAUGCUC